GCCGGGUUAGCUCAGUUGGUUAGAACCUGGUGCUGAUAACGCCAAGUUCACAGGUUCAAUCCCUGCUCACUGCA
rnacentral:tRNA from 1 species